UACGGAGGAUGCGAGCGUUAUCCGGAUUUAUUGGGUUUAAAGGGUGCGCAGGCGGAUUUUUAAGUCAGCGGUCAAAUCGUGGGGCUCAACCCCAUCCAGCCGUUGAAACUGGGGGGCUUGAGUAUGUUUGAGGCAGGCGGAAUGCGUGGUGUAGCGGUGAAAUGCAUAGAUAUCACGCAGAACCCCGAUUGCGAAGGCAGCAUGCCGGCUCCACACUGACGCUGAGGCACGAAAGCGUGGGUAUCGAACAGG
rnacentral:rRNA from 1 species